rnacentral:tRNA from 1 species
GCGAGAAUCGUAUAAUGGCCAAUACACCUGCCUUCCAAGCAGGAGCUGCGGGUUCGAUCCCCGCUUCUCGCA